AUUGAACGCUGGCGGCAGGCCUAACACAUGCAAGUCGAGCGGAUGAAGGGAGCUUGCUCCUGGAUUCAGCGGCGGACGGGUGAGUAGUGCCUAGGAAUCUGCCCGGUAGUGGGGGAUAACGUCCGGAAACGGGCGCUAAUACCGCAUACGUCCUGAGGGAGAAAGUGGGGGAUCUUCGGACCUCACGCUAUCAGAUGAGCCUAGGUCGGAUUAGCUAGUUGGUGGGGUAAAGGCCUACCAAGGCGACGAUCCGUAACUGGUCUGAGAGGAUGAUCAGUCACACUGGAACUGAGACACGGUCCAGACUCCUACGGGAGGCAGCAGUGGGGAAUAUUGGACAAUGGGCGAAAGCCUGAUCCAGCCAUGCCGCGUGUGUGAAGAAGGUCUUCGGAUUGUAAAGCACUUUAAGUUGGGAGGAAGGGCAGUAAGUUAAUACCUUGCUGUUUUGACGUUACCAACAGAAUAAGCACCGGCUAACUUCGUG
rnacentral:rRNA from 1 species